rnacentral:lncRNA from 1 species
CAAGAGUGCAUCUUCUCUCAGCAAUUGCUAUUGAGAGACCUUGAAUCUUACAACACUUCAGAGAAUCUCAUCAAGGCUAUCAGAUUACACAAUUGCAGUGUAUUAUUGUCAUCAAAAAUGUUCUUAAAACCUUGUCUUUUUAUAUGAGGAAUUAUGGGAAGUAUUCUCCAGACUGAUUUUAACUUCUCAUAAACUAGCACUGGAAAAUCACCAUGACAAAGCUUCUAAUCUGCUCCUCAAAUCUGUCCUGACAGAUCCAGCAAGUGAAAGGACUAAGUGUUCGGAGGACUGCAAAGUGCAUCAAGCUUAUUCUAGACCCUGUGCAUUCCUUCCUCCCUUCUUCUCUGGAGCAGCAAGUGUGAUCUUUCUCUGGACUGGAGCAGGAUGAUUCAAGACUCUGGCAUGGGUUGGGAGUGGACAUGGAUACAGCAGACAUAAUGUGAGACUCCUCUAGUGUAGCUAAUGUGAAAACAUCCCUCACCAGAUGUCAGUGCCUUCAUCUUGAACUUCAGCCUCCAGAGCUGUGAGAAAUCUGUGCUGGUUUUAAGCCAUUUGGCCAUGAAGCACGUUCUUAAAUUACCUGCACAUAAACAAGGAAGAAAUCCAGCCAGGAAGUGAUAGCCCAAGGCAUGGAGGAAGCCAAGUCAGCUAGAGCUGGUGCAGCUGCCCACCUUACAGCUUGCAGACUCUGUGCUGACCCAUGCCUGUGUAUGCGGCUUUGGCCUAUUCAUCCUCUCCUUAGGACUCCCUGGCCAUGCAUAUCAGCAACUGCAAUUACACUCCUGGUCUGGCCGCUCUGCACAUUCCCUGCCUGGGUGCCAACGCUGGGCCUAGUCAAGCAGGGAGGAGAUGAAAGGAGGUCAUGUGUGGGCACGCAUGCCCAGUCUAUGCCAUAGAUGUUUGCCCUGCCUGCUGGAAACAGGCCUUUCCAGUGCAGCCUGCAGUAAAUAAGCCUCCAGCUCCACUGGGCACUGUGAUUCCCUCUCCUCCCACUGCCAUUGGCAAAAACCAACAGAGUUUUAAAAAAUGGACAUUUCUCUCCUUUCUGAAAAAACACUGCGCUGGUUUAAAUAAUUCAAAAGAAAAGACAUUCCUUCCUCUUUUUCUCCAAAAGCCCACAUGUUCCCUAAAAUCAGAGGCUUAGCUCUUAAGGUCAGUUGGUAAAAUAAAGCGGGGGGGGGGGGGCGCAGUGACAGUUAAUGUGAGCCCACAUGACGUAGGCUGUGUGACAAGACAGCAUGGUGGCAGGCCACAUGCCAAGGCAACAUGGCAGUGCUCCAGAACAAAACAGAAAAACCAGAGAGAAAGCCAUUUACAAACUGGGGUGGGUGGAGACCAGGCUAAUUUCCAAGAAGGGUAACAAAUGUGCAGACAACAAGGCAUACUAAGCUCUAAGUCAUGCACAUCGUGCAGCAAGCUCUCUGGAUACUUAGCUUGUACUGGCAAAGUGAGCACAGCAGAAAAAAAGUCUCUUGUAGCUGGAAGAAAAACAAAGGCCAUAUAUUCCUUCUCCAUCCCCCAUGUGGUGGGAAAAGCAGCAAAUAGUUCUCUGCACAUCAUGAGAAGAGUCCCCUGA